rnacentral:rRNA from 1 species
AGUGAACGCUGGCGGCGUGCUUAACACAUGCAAGUCGAACGAGAACGGAUUAUAGCUUGCUAUAAUUGUCAGCUAAGUGGCGCACGGGUGAGUAAUGUAUAGGUAAUAUGCCUCUUACUAAGGGAUAACAAUUGGAAACGAUUGCUAAUACCUUAUAUUCCUUUUUAUCAAAAGAUAAAAAGGGAAAGAUUUAUUGGUAAGAGAUUAGCCUGUAUUGAAUCAGUUAGUUGGUGGGGUAAUGGCCGACCAAGACGAUGACGCAUAACUGGUUUGAGAGGAUGAUCAGUCACACUUGAACUGAGACACGGUCCAGACUCCUACGGGAGGCAGCAGUGGGGAAUAUUGCACAAUGGACGAAAGUCUGAUGCAGCAACGCCGCGUGGAGGAUGACACAUUUCGGUGCGUAAACUCCUUUUAUAUAAGAAGAUAAUGACGGUAUUAUAUGAAUAAGCACCGGCUAACUCCGUGCCAGCCGCCGCAGUAA